AUUGAACGCUGGCGGCAUGCCUUACACAUGCAAGUCGAACGGUAACGGGCCUUCGGGUGCCGACGAGUGGCGAACGGGUGAGUAAUGCAUCGGAACGUACCUUUCAGUGGGGGAUAACGUAGCGAAAGUUACGCUAAUACCGCAUAUUCUGUGAGCAGGAAAGCAGGGGAUCGCAAGACCUUGCGCUGAUUGAGCGGCCGAUGUCAGAUUAGCUAGUUGGUGAGGUAAUGGCUCACCAAGGCGACGAUCAGUAGCUGGUCUGAGAGGAUGAUCAGCCACAUUGGGACUGAGACACGGCCCAAACUCCUACGGGAGGCAGCAGUGGGGAAUAUUGGACAAUGGGCGCAAGCCUGAUCCAGCCAUGCCGCGUGAGUGAUGAAGGCCUUAGGGUUGUAAAGCUCUUUUACCCGGGAAGAUAAUGACUGUACCGGGAGAAUAAGCCCCGGCUAACUUCGUGCCAGCAGCCGCGGUAAAAUC
rnacentral:rRNA from 1 species